UUUCGUUUAAUUUGGGUUUGGGCUUCUUCGAUUAUCUAAACCUAGAUCUACGAAGAUGAAGUCGCGAGUCUCUUCUCCUCUCCCACUUCCACUUCCACUUCCACUUCGUCUUCUCCCCUUGAAACCGUAGCAUCUGACUUUUGAUCAUCCCCUUCUUCACAAUCAAUUCUCCACAAUCAAUUUCCUCUCCAUUUGUAUAUUAAAUCUCUUCUCUUAGCUUAUGCGUUGAUUAAAAUUGAAAAGCUUCUCUCAGACAAUCAUCCGGAUGGAACCCAAAGGAAACUCUUCAAUCUCCAGCGAUGGCAAGACUAACAAGAUGACCGUCGCCUCCUCCGCGACUGCGAAACCAGACCAAAUGGGAAGUCCACCGCUUCCUCUGCCAUUGUGAUGAAACCUAACGGGAAGUCUGCUGUUUCAUCUGCCAUUCUGAUGAAACCAAACGCUUCUACCGCUCUCUCCUCCGCGCAUGGCAAUCAAGUGAUGUUCUUCAGAGCUGUUUCACUCCUCCCACGAUUCGUCAUUGAAAGCUUCCUCAAUAACUUUCUUUCUAUGAAUCUUUGAUUAUAAAUACAUAAAUCACAUCCUGUGAAAUUCGUCAUUUCGAUCCAAAGGCUUUUAGAACUUUGGGAGAUGAUUUCGUUUUCGUUUGUUGAUUUUGUUUAUGUUUGUUGGUGUAUCGCAGGCCACAAUCGUGGAAGCUACCGUUACCGUACAAUGUUUCACCGUCACCGUCAAGCUGAUUGUUUAGAAUCGUCAGCUGCAGCUUUGGUCAUUCAGGCGUUGAAAGAGCCAGAGAGAGACCGUAAAAAAAUUAAGAACUUUACUAUGAUGAGAUUGAUAUUCCAUUUGAUUAUUUCAUUGAGAUUGCUAGGAUGAGGCAUAAAUAUAUUGCUAGAAAGCUGAGUUAGCCAUAUUCUGGAAACAUGUGUCGGUGUUGGAUUCACCGUUGAUGAAAAGGAUCCGAAGUAUCCUAGACAGUAUAUUCAAGGGUGAGCUGCUAUGUUUCUUCUCUUAGAAUGACUCAGGUUUUGAUUAAUGUUGGGUUGCGUUCUUCUGUUUAACAAUCCCAAUCGUUUACCAAUCUCAAUAUUAUUUCUGAUUUUGUUGAGGUAAAAGAAACAGAAAGUUACAUAGAUUUCUUGUAUAUCAUUGUUUUCUAUUCCUCUCAUAUUUAACCCUUCUCCAGUAAUGAUGCUAUUAUUUGCUUUCUCCACUAUUAUGAUCUACGGCGAGGUGAAUCGUUAUUUCUUCUCCUCUUCUUUAUCUGGAUCCUAAUUUAUAUACGAUCUUUGAUGCCCAUCAAAAUACUUUGGGUUACAUUUUUGCUUUUCUGCCUUUUUUUUUUGUUUUCUAGGAACUGACCAAUUUGUCUUGAUUUGGUUUUUGUGUAGAGCUUUUGUAAACUGGGAAAACGCUGACGUUGUUCGAGAAAAAGAGUAGCAGGGCUAAGGGUCUGACCUUCCACCUCGAAAGACCAAGGAAUCACGCCACUUUUCACAGAGGUUUCAUCCAGCUCUGGUAUUAUCAAUGGGUUCGUUCGUUCACUCCACAACUUAUCUUCCUCUAGAAGGUAAGAUAGGAAAUCUAUGUAUAUGUAAAAAAGUUCACACUACAGAGAUUUAAUGGAUUUUUCAUUACCCAUGAGUUUAGAUGUUCUAUAGUCUCCAUAACUUCCACUCAUAUAUCUUUGUAAAUAUUAUGUUUACGUUCGUAUGUAUGUGUUGAAUAUAUGAAUAGUCUUCUAGAUUCA